UUUUGGACAAUGGGUGCAACCCUGAUCCAGCCAUUCCGCGUGAGUGAAGAAGGCCUUCGGGUUGUAAAGCUCUUUCCCGAGGGAAGAAAACUUAUGAUCGAAUAAAUCAUGAGGUUGACGGUACCUUGAUAAGAAGCACCGGCUAACUACGUGCCAGCAGCCGCGGUAAUACGUAGGGGCGAGCGUUAAUCGGAAUUACUGGGCGUAAAGCGUGCGCAGGCGGUUUUGUAAGUCGGAUGUGAAAUCCCCGGGCUCAACCUGGGAACUGCGUUCGAAACUGCAAGGCUAGAGUGUGUCAGAGGGGGGUAGAAUUCCACGUGUAGCAGUGAAAUGCGUAGAGAUGUGGAGGAAUACCAAUGGCGAAGGCAGCCCCCUGGGAUAACACUACGUCAGCACGAA
rnacentral:rRNA from 1 species